UCAUAUCUAUGAUUGCAUGUGAUCCUCCCAACCAUGGUGAAAGGGACUGUGAGGACUCGGACUUGUCCCCAGAGAGAGGGAGCAACUGAAGACAGUUUCACAGAUGAUGAUAAAAUGGAACAAGUGUACAGCGAGGAAGCAGGAGGCCUGAGCUCCAGCCCCAGCUCUGUACUAACAAACAAGCUGUGUGUCCUUGAGCAAACCUCUUGCCCUCUCUGAGCCUCCAUGAGAGCAAGUUAUAGCGAUUACAGUGAGUUCCGCCUUACAGAAGCCAGACAUAAUAUACAGCAGAAUCAGCGGCUAUGUGCCGAUGCAUGGCCUCUGGGGCCAUCUGAGCUCCAUGUUGUGGAGGCAAUACGGAGUGGUCCAGGAGGAGCCAGGAAAGCAGGAGGGGAAGAAGCUGGGGCGUUUCCUUCUGACACCUCCCUGCUCCGACAACUGUCGCAUACCUCCUGACCUAUCAGGUCAGCCGGCACGCCCCACACUCAUGCCACGGACAGUACAUGAAAACCGCCUUCAAGAGGCAGCGGCACCCAGACCUCAGCCUCCAGCAAGGUCAGACGGAAGGAGUCCGACACGCCCGGCACCCUUCAAGGGAGUCGCCCAGCUCCAUGGCCGUCAGAGGAAGCCAUUUCUCAUCUUAGACAAGCAAUUCUGGAAGCUACCAGAGCUGUGGCUUAGAAUAUACUUAUGAGCCCCCAUCUGGCUUCUUUCCAUGUCUAAUGCAGGCAUUUUCCUCAUGUGCAGAAUUCCAGAUUUCUACAGUACCCAACGUUUCCCAGGCUUCUGUGACUCAAAACCAUGGUCACCGUGUCGCCAUAUCCUCAUCAUUGUGCAUGCUUUAUUAUUUAUCAAAUGUUUUCCUUUACACU